rnacentral:rRNA from 1 species
GACGAACGCUGGCGGCGUGCUUAACACAUGCAAGUCGAACGGAAAGGCCCUGCUUUUGUGGGGUGCUCGAGUGGCGAACGGGUGAGUAACACGUGAGUAACCUGCCCUUGACUUUGGGAUAACUUCAGGAAACUGGGGCUAAUACCGGAUAGGAGCUCCUGCUGCAUGGUGGGGGUUGGAAAGUUUCGGCGGUUGGGGAUGGACUCGCGGCUUAUCAGCUUGUUGGUGGGGUAGUGGCUUACCAAGGCUUUGACGGGUAGCCGGCCUGGGAGGGUGACCGGCCACAUUGGGACUGAGAUACGGCCCAGACUCCUACGGGAGGCAGGGGUGGGGAAUAUUGCACAAUGGGCGGAGGCGUGAUGCAGCAACGCCGCGUGCGGGAGGACGGCCUUCGGGUUGUAAACCGCUUUCGCCUGUGACGAAGCGUGAGUGACGGUAAUGGGUAAAGAAGCACCGGCGAACUACGU